AGUGAACGCUGGCGGUAGGCCUAACACAUGCAAGUCGAACGGCAGCACAGGAGAGCUUGCUCUCUGGGUGGCGAGUGGCGGACGGGUGAGGAAUACAUCGGAAUCUACUUUUUCGUGGGGGAUAACGUAGGGAAACUUACGCUAAUACCGCAUACGACGUACGGGUGAAAGCAGGGGACCUUCGGGCCUGGCGCGAUUGAAUGAGCCGAUGUCGGAUUAGCUAGUUGGCGGGGUAAAGGCCCACAAAGGCGACGAUCCGUAGCUGGUCUGAGAGGAUGAUCAGCCACACUGGAACUGAGACACGGUCCAGACUCCUACGGGAGGCAGCAGUGGGGAAUAUUGGACAAUGGGCGCAAGCCUGAUCCAGCCAUACCGCGUGGGUGAAUAAGGCCUUCGGGUUGUAAAGCCCUUUUGUUGGGAAAGAAAUCCAGCUGGCUAAUACCCGGUUGGGAUGACGGUACCCAAAGAAUAAGCACCGGCUAACUUCGUGCCAGCCGCCGCGGUAA
rnacentral:rRNA from 1 species